GCAGUCCACAACGGCCCUGGGUGCCAGGAGCUCUUAGUCUCAAACAGCCUCCCAAGCUGUCCCCUGCGGUGGAGAUUGAACCCCUUGAGCCGCCGCUAGGACCUGGAGAGGUGGAAUUUCAAUUUGAAACUCCCGUCGCGGGAGGGCUGGCGCUGGGCAUGCUCAGUAGCCGCGGCGCGUGGGGCUGCUGCUGUAGCUGUUCUGCGGGGUGGCGCGGGGUCCCCGCACUGUUACCUCCUCUGCUGCGGGGCUUCCAGAAGGCCGAGCCUUCACCUCGCCCCCGCCCGCUCCCGUGUCCCUCAUCCACCGCCUCCUACUCUUCUUCCUCUCCGCAUCUUUGAGAGAGAGGAAGCUGGUGCUGUUUUCUGUCGGCGGCGCUACAGACCGACCGCCCUGGAAACCCCAGCGGAGGACCCUGCGAACGAAUUCCGGAUCGGAGGACCGUUGGCAGUGGCUCGUUCACUUCGCACUUUGCCUGAAGUGGGGUCUUGGCAGAAUUUCUCCUCCACCCCUCAAUGCAAACACUAUGCGGAGAACAGUCGGCUUCCCUGCGCUAUGCCUGCUUCUUAAUCUUCACGCUGCAGGGUGUUUUUCAGGACAUAAUCAUCACUUUUUGGCAGUUCACCACAGGAAGAAUGGGAAGCCAUUAUUCAUCUAUCACCAUUCACAAGACCUUGAGAAGAGCCUGGAUAUUGCUCCACAAAAGAUAUAUAAACAUAGUUACCAUUCUGCUCCUGAAACUUGGAGAAGCAAAAGCCAGCAAAUAAUUAACUCAGCAUUUCCCAGAACUGCAUAUGACCCAUCUCUCAAUCUGCUGGCCGCAGCUGGUCAAGACCUUGAAGUGGAAAAUCUUCCAAUUCCAGCAGCAAAUGUAAUCGUGGUGACACUGCAAAUGGAUGUAAACAAGCUGAACAUAACCUUGCUUCGGAUAUUCCGCCAAGGAGUAGCUGCAGCUUUAGGACUCUUACCCCAGCAAGUGCACAUCAAUCGCCUGAUUGUAAGAUGCCUACAUUUCACAUUCCCAGAAAUUAAGUCAUGUUGAAGUCAUUGAAGGGCUCAUACUAUAGUUUUAUCAUUUAUAAGCUAAAUCUGGCCUACCAUCUGUUUUUGCAAAUAAAGUUUUAUUGUAACAAGCCA
rnacentral:lncRNA from 1 species